rnacentral:rRNA from 1 species
AGACGUCACACAUUAGAUACCCGCGUAGUCCCAGCCCUAAACGAUGCGCGUUAGGUGUAUCGGUGACCACGAGUCACCGAGGUGCCGAAGGGAAACCGUGAAACGUGCCGCCUGGGAAGUACGGUCGCAAGGCUAGAAACUUAAAGGAAUUGGCGGGGAGCACCACAACGGGUGGAGCCUGCGGUUUAAUUGGACUCAACGCCGGGAAGCUCACCGGAUAAGACAGCGGAAUGAUUGCCGGGCUGAAGACCCUGCAUGACCAGCUG